rnacentral:rRNA from 1 species
AGUGAACGCUGGCGGCAGGCCUAAUACAUGCAAGUCGAACGGCAGCACAGCAGAGCUUGCUCUGUGGGUGGCGAGUGGCGGACGGGUGAGGAAUACAUGGGAAUCUGCCCAGUCGUGGGGGAUAACGUAGGGAAACUUACGCUAAUACCGCAUGCGCCCUUCGGGGGAAAGCCGGGGACCUUCGGGCCUGGCGCGAUUGGAUGAGCCCAUGUCGGAUUAGCUAGUUGGCGGGGUAAUGGCCCACCAAGGCGACGAUCCGUAGCUGGUCUGAGAGGAUGAUCAGCCACACUGGAACUGAGACACGGUCCAGACUCCUACGGGAGGCAGCAGUAGGGAAUAUUGGACAAUGGGCGCAAGCCUGAUCCAGCCAUGCCGCGUGAGUGAAGAAGGCCCUCGGGUUGUAAAAGCUCUUUUUGUCCGGAAAGAAAAGCGCCGGGUUAAUACCCUAGUGUCCUGACGGUACCGGAAGAAUAAGCACGGCUAACUUCGUGCCAGCAG